GACGAACCGUGCGAACGUUAUUCGGAAUCACUGGGCUUAAAGCGCGUGUAGGCGGGACGGCACGUCGGUCGCUGAAAGCCCCCGGCUCAACCGGGGAAGUGGCGCCGAUACGACCACCCUGGAGGGACGUAGGGGGACCUGGAACUUCCGGUGGAGCGGUGAAAUGCGUUGAGAUCGGAAGGAACGCCCGUGGCGAAAGCGAGGUCCUGGACGUUUACUGACGCUGAGACGCGAAAGCCAGGGGAGCGAACGGG
rnacentral:rRNA from 1 species